ACUUCCGGUCUACGCUCCACGCUCAAACGGCUGCGCUAACUACUUCCGGAAGUUUUUAUUAUCAAUGAUUUUGUCACUUGUGCGAGAUUAAAACACUUCUCUGGUGUUUGUUUUUUGUUGUUGUCCAAAAAUGUCGUAUAACUACGUGGUAACAGCCCAGAAGCCGACGGCGGUGAACGCCUGCGUCACAGGUCACUUCACCUCCGCUGACGACCUCAACCUGCUCAUAGCGAAGAACACCCGGCUGGAGAUCUAUGUGGUGACGGCGGAGGGCCUAAGGCCCGUUAAGGAGGUCGGCAUGUACGGGAAGAUUGCUGUCAUGGAGCUCUUCAGGCCGAAGGGCGAGAGCAAAGACCUGCUGUUCAUUCUCACAUCCAAGUACAACGCCUGCAUCCUUGAAUACAAACAGACCGGGGAGAGCAUCGACAUCAUCACUCGCGCCCACGGAAACGUCCAGGAUCGUAUCGGGCGCCCGUCAGAAACUGGUAUUAUCGGCAUCGUGGACCCAGAAUGCCGCAUGAUUGGACUGCGGCUGUACGACGGGUUGUUCAAGGUGAUCCCACUGGACCGGGACAACCGCGAGCUCAAGGCCUUCAACAUCCGACUGGAGGAGCUGCAGGUCAUCGACGUGCAUUUCCUGUACGGCUGCCAGGCCCCGACGGUCUGCUUCAUCUACCAGGACCCCCAGGGACGCCAUGUGAAGACCUAUGAAGUUUCCUUGAGGGAGAAGGAGUUCAACAAGGGCCCCUGGAAACAGGAGAACGUGGAGGCCGAGGCCUCCAUGGUCAUCCCAGUGCCGGAGCCAUUUGGUGGCGCUAUCAUCAUAGGCCAGGAGUCCAUCACCUACCACAACGGAGAUAAAUACUUGGCCAUUGCACCACCGACCAUCAAGCAAAGCACCAUCGUCUGUCACAACCGGGUGGACCCCAACGGCUCUCGCUACCUGCUGGGCGACAUGGAGGGACGCCUGUUCAUGCUGCUGCUGGAGAAGGAGGAGCUGAUGGACGGCACGGUGGCGCUCAAAGACCUGCACGUGGAGCUGCUGGGGGAGACGUCCAUCGCCGAGUGUUUGACCUACUUGGAUAACGGCGUGGUGUUCGUGGGCUCCAGACUGGGAGACUCCCAGCUGGUGAAGCUCAACGUGGACAGCAACGACCUGGGGUCCUACGUGGGGGUGAUGGAGACCUUCACCAACCUGGGGCCCAUCGUGGACAUGUGUGUGGUGGACCUGGAGAGGCAGGGACAGGGACAGCUGGUCACGUGCUCCGGGGCGUUCAAGGAGGGCUCCCUCCGAAUCAUCCGCAACGGCAUCGGGAUUCACGAGCACGCCAGCAUCGACCUGCCGGGAAUCAAAGGUUUGUGGCCUCUGCGCUCUGAGGCCGGCAGGGAGACAGACGACAUGCUGGUGCUGUCCUUCGUGGGUCAAACACGAGUGUUGAUGCUGAGUGGCGAGGAAGUGGAGGAGACGGAGCUUCCCGGCUUCGUGGACAACCAGCAGACGUUUUACUGCGGCAACGUGGCUCACCAGCAACUCAUUCAAAUCACGUCGGGCUCGGUGCGCCUGGUGCUCCAGGAGAGCAAGGCGCUGGUGAGCCAGUGGAAGGAGCCGCAGGGCAGGAACAUCAGCGUGGCCGCCUGCAACCACACCCAGGUGGUUCUGGCCGUGGGACGAGCCCUCUACUACCUGCAGAUCCUGGCGGGAGAGCUGAAGCAGAUUGGCACCACGGAGAUGGAGCACGAGGUGGCCUGCCUGGACAUCACUCCCCUGGGGGAGGCGGGCGGCGAGUCCCCCCUCUGCGCCGUGGGACUGUGGACCGACAUCUCGGCCCGCGUGCUCAAGCUGCCUUGCUUCACCGCCCUGCACAAGGAGAUGCUGGGCGGAGAGAUCAUCCCUCGCUCCAUCCUAAUGACCACCUUCGAGGGCAGCUACUACCUGCUGUGCGCGCUGGGAGACGGCGCCCUCUUCUAUUUCGGUCUGGACCUGCAGACUGGCGCCCUGAGCGAGCGGAAGAAGGUGACCCUCGGCACGCAGCCCACCGUGCUGCGCACCUUCAGGUCCCUCUCCACCUCCAACGUCUUCGCCUGCUCCGACCGGCCCACCGUCAUCUACUCGUCCAACCACAAGCUGGUCUUCUCCAACGUCAACCUCAAGGAGGUCAACUACAUGUGCCCCCUCAACUCUGAGGGCUACCCCGACAGUCUUGCGUUGGCCAACAACAGCACGCUGACCAUCGGCACCAUCGACGAGAUCCAGAAACUCCACAUUCGCACCGUCCCCCUCUACGAGUCCCCCAGGCGGAUCUGUUACCAGGAGGUUUCCCAGUGUUUCGGGGUUCUAUCCAGCAGGGUGGAGAUCCAGGAUGUGAGCGGCACCACAUCUGCCGUGCGCCCCAGCGCCAGCACUCAGGCUCUUUCCAACAGCGUGAGCUCCAGCAAGCUCUUCCCCAGCAGCACUUCUCCCCACGAGACGUCCUUCGGCGAAGAGGUGGAGGUCCACAGUCUGCUGGUGGUGGACCAGCACACCUUUGAAGUCCUCCACGCCCAUCAGUUCCUCCCCAGCGAGUACGCGCUCAGCAUGGUGUCGUGUCGCCUGGGAAAAGACCCGUCGGUGUACUUCAUCGUCGGCACCGCCAUGGUGUACCCGGAGGAGGCGGAGCCCAAGCAGGGACGCAUCAUCGUCUUCCACUACACAGACGGGAAGCUGCAGACCGUGGCUGAGAAGGAGGUGAAAGGAGCCGUCUAUUCCAUGGUGGAAUUCAAUGGCAAACUGCUCGCCAGCAUCAACAGCACAGUUCGCCUCUACGAGUGGACGGCGGAGAAGGAGCUGAGGACCGAGUGCAACCACUACAACAACAUCAUGGCCCUCUACCUGAAGACCAAGGGGGACUUCAUCCUGGUGGGGGACCUGAUGCGCUCCGUCCUGCUGCUGGCCUACAAGCCCAUGGAGGGCAACUUUGAGGAGAUUGCACGUGACUUUAAUCCGAACUGGAUGAGCGCCGUGGAGAUCCUGGACGACGACAACUUCCUGGGGGCGGAGAACGCCUUCAAUCUGUUUGUCUGCCAGAAGGACAGUGCGGCCACUACGGACGAGGAGCGGCAGCACCUGCAGGAGGUGGGGGUCUUCCACCUCGGGGAGUUCGUAAACGUCUUCUGUCACGGCUCGCUGGUGCUGCAGAACCUCGGGGAGAGCUCCACGCCCACCCAGGGCUCCGUGCUCUUCGGCACCGUUAACGGCAUGAUUGGUCUGGUGACCUCGCUCUCCGAGGGCUGGUACAGCCUCCUCCUGGACCGGUGACCUCGCUCUCCGAGGGCUGGUACAGCCUCCUCCUGGACCUGCAGAACCGCCUCAACAAGGUCAUCAAGAGCGUGGGCAAGAUCGAGCACAGCUUCUGGAGGUCCUUCCACACGGAGAGGAAGACGGAGCAGGCCACCGGGUUCAUCGACGGGGAUCUGAUCGAGAGCUUCCUGGACCUCGGCCGGGCCAAGAUGCAGGAGGUGGUCAGCACUUUACAGAUCGAUGACGGCAGCGGCAUGAAGCGCGAGGCCACGGUGGACGAGGUCAUCAAGAUCGUGGAGGAGCUGACGAGGAUCCACUAGCAUCCUGAACCUGCCCCCCCCCCCCCCCCCCACUGAGUGAGAAGAGAGGAAAACCAGGAGUUUGGGGAAACAGUUUGGGUUUUACAGAUCUGUAAAUAAUUAUAAAUAAGCAGCGUGUGCAUCAUGUUCGUCCCUCAGACUUGGCUGAGAUGAGAGAGCCGCCCCCCUCCCAGUCAGAGUCCGUGGGGGGGAGGGGGAGGGGGGAGGCGGGUGCACAGCCGCCUGGUGGGACAACAGGGAGGCCGAAGCUGGUCUGAGUGUGUUUGCGUGUGUGAUUUGAGUCCGUGUGGAAUAAUGUGACGAUAGACGCCCCCCCCUCCCUCCCCCCCCAUCAUCUGUGGGGUGUUAGAAUUUCCUCCACACCGACACUUUCAAUCUGUACGAGACCCACCGGAGCAACGGCAUCGAUUUACAGUCCUUUGUCUUUGUGAUGUUUCCUUUGUUCAUUCUAAUAAAGUUUUGCUUUGGUAGCGUU